rnacentral:rRNA from 1 species
AGCCUGCCCAGUGACUAUAUGUUCAACGGCCGCGGUAUUCUGACCGUGCAAAGGUAGCGUAAUCACUUGUCUUUUAAAUAAAGACUGGUAUGAAUGGCACCACGAAGGUUCAACUGUCUCCUGCAUCCAAUCCAUUAAACUGACCUCCCCGUGCAGAGGCGGGGAUAUUCCCAUAAGACGAGAAGACCCUAUGGAGCUUUAAACUUACGGCAACUGCUAAACAAUCCAACCCCACGCGGGAAAACAGACAAUUAAGCAACAAUGACCUAAAGUUUUCGGUUGGGGCGACCACGGAGAAAAAAAAAUCCUCCUUGAUGUACGGGGCCUUACCCUCUUAACCAAGAACGACAGUUCUAAGUAACAAAACAUUUGACCACUAUUGAUCCAGUCCAACUGAUCAACGAACCAAGUUACCCUAGGGAUAACAGCGCAAUCCAUUUCGAAAGUUCCUAUCGACAAAUGGGUUUACGACCUCGAUGUUGGAUCAG